GGAGAGAUGCCAGAGUGGUCGAAUGGGCCGCACUCGAAAUGCGGUAGGCUCGCAAGGGUCUCCAGGGUUCAAAUCCCUGUCUCUCCG
rnacentral:tRNA from 1 species